CCCAGACUCCUACGGGAGGCAGCAGUGAGGAAUAUUGGUCAAUGGGCGGAAGCCUGAACCAGCCAAGUCGCGUGAGGGAAUAAGGCCCUACGGGUCGUAAACCUCUUUUGCCGGGGAGCAAGGGCCGGGACGAGUCCCGGUCCGGAGAGUACCCGGAGAAAAAGCAUCGGCUAACUCCGUGCCAGCAGCCGCGGUAAUACGGAGGAUGCGAGCGUUAUCCGGAUUUAUUGGGUUUAAAGGGUGCGCAGGCGGAUUUUUAAGUCAGCGGUAAAAUCGUGGGGCUCAACCCCAUCCAGCCGUUGAAACUGGGGAUCUAGAGUGUGCGAGAGGUAUGCGGAAUGCGUGGUGUAGCGGUGAAAUGCAUAGAUAUCACGCAGAACUCCGAUUGCGAAGGCAGCAUACCGGCGCCCAACUGACGCUGAAGCACGAAAGCGUGGGUAUCGAACAGGAUUAGAUACCCCUGUAAA
rnacentral:rRNA from 1 species